rnacentral:rRNA from 1 species
GAUGAACGCUGGCGGCGUGCCUAAUACAUGCAAGUCGAGCGAACGGACGAGAAGCUUGCUUCUCUGAUGUUAGCGGCGGACGGGUGAGUAACACGUGGAUAACCUACCUAUAAGACUGGGAUAACUUCGGGAAACCGGAGCUAAUACCGGAUGAUAUUUUGAACCGCAUGGUUCAAAAGUGAAAGACGGUCUUGCUGUCACUUAUAGAUGGGUCCGCGCUGCAUUAGCUAGUUGGUAAGGUAACGGCUUACCAAGGCAACGAUGCAUAGCCGACCUGAGAGGGUGAUCGGCCACACUGGAACUGAGGCACGGUCCAGACUCCUACGGGAGGCAGCAGUAGGGAAUCUUCCGCAAUGGGCGAAAGCCUGACGGAGCAACGCCGCGUGAGUGAUGAAGGUCUUCGGAUCGUAAAACUCUGUUAUUAGGGAAGAACAUAUGUGUAAGUAACUGUGCACAUCUUGACGGUACCUAAUCAGAAAGCCACGGCUAACUACGUG